rnacentral:tRNA from 1 species
GGGCCUAUAGUCCAGUGGCAGAACGCCUCCAUGGCAUGGAGGAGUCGGGGGUUCGAUUCCCCCUAGGUCCA